CCGGUAAACGGCGGCCGUAACUAUAACGGUCCUAAGGUAGCGAAAUUCCUUGUCGGGUAAGUUCCGACCUGCACGAAUGGCGUAAUGAUGGCCAGGCUGUCUCCACCCGAGACUCAGUGAAAUUGAACUCGCUGUGAAGAUGCAGUGUACCCGCGGCAAGACGGAAAGACCCCGUGAACCUUUACUAUAGCUUGACACUGAACAUUGAGCCUUGAUGUGUAGGAUAGGUGGGAGGCUUUGAAGUGUGGACGCCAGUCUGCAUGGAGCCGACCUUGAAAUACCACCCUUUAAUGUUUGAUGUUCUAACGUGGACCCGUAAUCCGGGUUGCGGACAGUGUCUGGUGGGUAGUUUGACUGGGGCGGUCUCCUCCUAAAGAGUAACGGAGGAGCACGAAGGUUGGCUAAUCCUGGUCGGACAUCAGGAGGUUAGUGCAAUGGCAUAAGCCAGCUUGACUGCGAGCGUGACGGCGCGAGCAGGUGCGAAAGCAGGUCAUAGUGAUCCGGUGGUUCUGAAUGGAAGGGCCAUCGCUCAACGGAUAAAAGGUACUCCGGGGAUAACAGGCUGAUACCGCCCAAGAGUUCAUAUCGACGGCGGUGUUUGGCACCUCGAUGUCGGCUCAUCACAUCCUGGGGCUGAAGUAGGUCCCAAGGGUAUGGCUGUUCGCCAUUUAAAGUGGUACGCGAGCUGGGUUUAGAACGUCGUGAGACAGUUCGGUCCCUAUCUGCCGUGGGCGCUGGAGAACUGAGGGGGGCUGCUCCUAGUACGAGAGGACCGGAGUGGACGCAUCACUGGUGUUCGGGUUGUCAUGCCAAUGGCACUGCCCGGUAGCUAAAUGCGGAAGAGAUAAGUGCUGAAAGCAUCUAAGCACGAAACUUGCCCCGAGAUGAGUUCUCCCUGAGACUUAGAGUCUCCUGAAGGAACGUUGAAGACGACGACGUUGAUAGGCCGGGUGUGUAAGCGCAGCGAUGCGUUGAGCUAACCGGUACUAAUGAACCGUGAGGCUUAACCUU
rnacentral:rRNA from 1 species